AUGGGGUUUCACCGUUUUAGCCAGGAUGGUCUCGAUCUCCUGACCUCGUGAUCCACCCGCCUCCAUCUCCCAAAGUACUGGGAUUACAGGCGUGAGCCACCGCGCCCGGCCAUUUGUUGCUGAAUUUAAACCGCACUGCAAAAGUCUCUUGAAAUGUAUCUUAAACUGAAGAAAUUAUUGUCAGUUCUGCCGAUUACCUGUCCUGGUCUCACCUGAAAAAAGAAAAAAAAAAGAGAACAUUUAAGGGAAACUGAAGACAGAAGAUUCAACUACAUGGCAACCUAAAAGCAAGCAUGGACAGUUCCUUGGUGAAUAACCAAAAACAAGGAACUAGAACUAAAGCGAGGUUAAUUUCCACAGUGAGAACAUGCUCCAGACAUCCGAGCACCAGUGUGGCUCUGGAAACUCCACAGAUACCACAGGACUAGAAAAUAACUGGACAAUGGGAUGUUCUAUCUUGCCCGAACUGAGGGAUAUAAAAAGCUCCAAAG
rnacentral:lncRNA from 1 species